CCAUGCCGCGUGAUGAUGAAGGUCUUAGGAUUGUAAAAUUCUUUCACCGGGGACGAUAAUGACGGUACCCGGAGAAGAAGCCCCGGCUAACUUCGUGCCAGCAGCCGCGGUAAUACGAAGGGGGCUAGCGUUGCUCGGAAUUACUGGGCGUAAAGGGAGCGUAGGCGGAUAGUUUAGUCAGAGGUGAAAGCCCAGGGCUCAACCUUGGAACUGCCUUUGAUACUGGCUAUCUUGAGUAUGGGAGAGGUGAGUGGAACUCCGAGUGUAGAGGUGAAAUUCGUAGAUAUUCGGAAGAACACCAGUGGCGAAGGCGACUCACUGGCCCAUUACUGACGCUGAGGCUCGAAAGCGUGGGGAGCAAACAGGAUUAGAUACCCUGGUAGUCCACGCCGUAAACGAUGAGUGCUAUUGUCGGCAUGCAUGCAUGUCGGUGACGCA
rnacentral:rRNA from 1 species